rnacentral:rRNA from 1 species
GAACGCUGGCGGCAUGCCUACACAUGCAAGUCGAACGAGACCUUCGGGUCUAGUGGCGCACGGGUGCGUAACGCGUGGGGAUCUGCCCUUUGCUUCGGAAUAACAGUUAGAAAUGACUGCUAAUACCGGAUGAUGUCGUAAGACCAAAGAUUUAUCGGCAAAGGAUGAACCCGCGUAGGAUUAGCUAGUUGGUGGGUAAAGGCCUACCAAGGCGACGAUCCUUAGCUGGUCUGAGAGGAUGAUCAGCCACACUGGGACUGAGACACGGCCCAGACUCCUACGGGAGGCAGCAGUGGGGAAUAUUGGACAAUGGGCGAAAGCCUGAUCCAGCAAUGCCGCGUGAGUGAUGAAGGCCUUCGGGUUGUAAAGCUCUUUUACCAGGGAUGAUAAUGACAGUACCUGGGAGAAUAAGCUCCGGCUAACUCCGUG